CCCUUAGAUGUUCUGGGCUGCACGCGCGCUACACUGACGCACGCAACAGGUGCCUGCUCCGAGAGGACUGGGUAAUCAUUUGAGUGUGUGUCGUGAUGGGGAUAGAAUAUUGUAAUUAUUACUCUUCAACGAGGAAUUCCUAGUAAGCGCAAGUCAGCAGCUUGCGCUGAUUACGUCCCUGCCCUUUGUACACACCGCCCGUCGCUCCUACCGAUGGGUGAUCCGGUGAAUGAUUCGGACUUCAGCGGCUCCUCUGGGGUGCGCCGGAGAAAGUUUUGUGAACCUUAUCACUUGGAGGAAGGAGAAGUCGUAACA
rnacentral:rRNA from 1 species